GCUGCGCUGUUUCGGGUAGCAGGGGAUAAUUGAAAAUGAUGUGGAGAAAAUUAGCAUAGACUCCUCUCAAGGACGACACUCAAACUUGUGAAGCAUUCUAUAUUUUG
ensembl:snRNA U6 U6 spliceosomal RNA